UGCAAGUGGAGGCGGCAAGCUAGAGACAGCAACUGCAUAUCUUGCAAGAAAAUCGGUUUUAUGGCCAUACCGAUGAUUUUCUUGCAAGCUGUGCAGUUGUUGUCUCAAGCUUGCUGCCUCCCUUUGCC
rnacentral:pre_miRNA from 17 species